rnacentral:ncRNA from 1 species
GUGUUGUAUAAAAGGAGAGAAAGCACUCACGUUGACAAAGAUGGAAGAGGCACUUGGGCCUGACAACAUGUGAGACAAUUAAGGCAUUGCCACCUACUUCCAAGGACAUUUAUUAAGUACCUUCU